GCCAGCGGAGACGCAGGUGUGCCUUCGGGAGCUCUGAGACAGGUGCUGCAUGGCUGUCGUCAGCUCGUGUUGUGAAAUGUUGGGUUAAGUCCCGCAACGAGCGCAACCCUUAUCCUUGUUUGCCAGCGAGUAAUGUCGGGAACUCCAGGGAGACUGCCGGUGAUAAACCGGAGGAAGGUGGGGACGACGUCAAGUCAUCAUGGCCCUUACGAGUAGGGCUACACACGUGCUACAAUGGCGCAUACAGAGGGCAGCAAGCUAGCGAUAGUGAGCGAAUCCCAAAAAGUGCGUCGUAGUCCGGAUUGGAGUCUGCAACUCGACUCCAUGAAGUCGGAAUCGCUAGUAAUCGUGAAUCAGAAUGUCACGGUGAAUACGUUCCCGGGCCUUGUACACACCGCCCGUCACACCAUGGGAGUGGGCUGCAAAAGAAGUGGGUAGUUUAACCUUUCGGGGAGGACGCUCACCACUUUGUGGUUCAUGACUGGGGUGAAGUCGUAACAAGGUAGCCCUAGGGGAACCUGGGGCUGGAUCACCUCCUUA
rnacentral:rRNA from 1 species